UACGUAGGUGGCAAGCGCUGUCCGGAUUUAUUGGGUUUAAAGGGUGCGUAGGCGGCCCUAUAAGUCAGUGCUGAAAUAUCCCGGCUUAACCGGGAGGGUGGCAUUGAUACUGUAGGGCUUGAGUCGAGUUGAGGUUGGCGGAAUUGACGGUGUAGCGGUGAAAUGCUUAGAUAUCGUCAAGAACACCGAUAGUGAAGACAGCUAACUAAGCUCAAACUGACGCUGAGGCACGAAAGUGUGGGGAUCAAACAGG
rnacentral:rRNA from 1 species